rnacentral:sRNA from 1 species
GAAGACCUGCAGGACCUGCGGGCCGGGGGCGUGGACCCAGCGGGCCGCCUGCUGCUGGUGCGCGUGGGGAUGAUCAGCUUCGCCCAGAAGGAAGCUCAAAGGCCCUGUGGCCCCCCAGGAAUGGCAGGGGAGCCUCCUAGGCUCCCCUUAUCACCUGGGCCCCGGGCCAGGACUGCAGCUAGUGGUCAACAAUCACAGGACCUCCACCCCCAUCAACAACAUCUUCGGCUGCAUCGAAGGCCACUCAGAGCCAGGCUUCCGGCCCCGCAGAAGUCUCCUCUUCAUCAGCUGGGAUGGCGGUGACUUUGGAAGCGUGGGCUCCACGGAGUGGCUAGAGGUGAUACGGGGUCCUGGGCAGGUCAUUAGGCAGUGGGGAGAUGUGGGGGCGGGGGGUUCCCACUCCACACUGGUCACCCACCCACAGGGCUACCUCAGCGUGCUGCACCUCAAAGCCGUAGUGUAUGUGAGCCUGGACAACGCAGUGCUGGGGGAUGACAAGUUUCAUGCCAAGACCAGCCCCCUUCUGACAAGUCUCAUUGAGAGUGUCCUGAAGCAGGUGGAUUCUCCCAACCACAGCGGGCAGACUCUCUAUGAACAGGUGGUGUUCACCAAUCCCAGCUGGGAUGCUGAGGUGAUCCGGCCCCUACCCAUGGACAGCAGUGCCUAUUCCUUCACUGCCUUUGUGGGAGUCCCUGCCGUCGAGUUCUCCUUCAUGGAGGUGAGACGUCCUCCCCCUGCCCCAGACACAGCGCUAGUCCUUCAGCCUGUCUGCCUCCGCCCCAGCGUCCACCCUGUCCUGGCAGGACGACCAGGCCUACCCGUUCCUGCACACAAAGGAGGACACUUAUGAGAACCUGCAUAAGGUGCUGCAAGGCCGCCUGCCCGCCGUGGCCCAGGCCGUGGCCCAGCUCGCAGGGCAGCUCCUCAUCCGGCUCAGCCACGAUCGCCUGCUGCCCCUCGACUUCGGCCGCUACGGGGACGUCGUCCUCAGGCACAUUGGGAACCUCAACGAGUUCUCUGGGGACCUCAAGGCCCGCGGGCUGACCCUGCAGUGGGUGUACUCGGCGCGGGGGGACUACAUCCGGGCGGCGGAGAAGCUGCGGCAGGAGAUCUACAGCUCGGAGGAAAGAGACGAGCGACUGACACGCAUGUACAACGUGCGCAUAAUGCGGGUGGAGUUCUACUUCCUUUCCCAGUACGUGUCGCCAGCCGACUCCCCGUUCCGCCACAUCUUCGUGGGCCGCGGAGACCACACGCUGGGCGCCCUGCUGGACCACCUGCGGCUGCUGCGCUCCAACAGCUCCGGAACCCCCGGGGCCACCUCCUCCACCGGCUUCCAGGAGAGCCGCUUCCGGCGUCAGCUAGCCCUGCUCACCUGGACGCUGCAAGGGGCAGCCAAUGCGCUUAGCGGGGAUGUCUGGAACAUUGAUAACAACUUCUGAGGCCCUGGGGAUCCUCACAUCCCCCUGUCCCCCAGUCAAGAGCUCCUCUGCUCCUCACUUGAAUGAUUCAGGGUCAGGGAGGUGGCUCAGAGUCCACCUCUCAUUGCUGAUCAAUUUCUCAUUACCCCUACACAUCUCUCCACAGAGCCCAGACCCAAACACAGAUAUCCACACACGCCAGCCCUGCAGUGUAGCUGACCCUAAUGUGAGGGUCAUACUGUCGGUUAAUCAGAGAGUAGCAUCCCUUCAAUCACAGCCCCUUCCCCUUUCUGGGGUCCUCCAUACCUACAGACCACUCUGGGAGGUUUGCUAGGCCCUGGGACCUGGCCAGCUCGGUUAGUGGGAGAGAUCGCUGGCAUCAUAGCCUUAUGGCCAACAGGCGGUCUGUGGUGAAAGGGGCAUGG